rnacentral:rRNA from 1 species
UACAGAGGGUGCGAGCGUUAAUCGGAAUUACUGGGCGUAAAGCGCACGCAGGCGGCUUGGUAUGUCGGGUGUGAAAUCCCCGGGCUCAACCUGGGAACUGCAUCCGAAACUGCCUUGCUCGAGUAUGGGAGAGGGAAGUGGAAUUUCCGGUGUAGCGGUGAAAUGCGUAGAUAUCGGAAGGAACAUCAGUGGCGAAGGCGGCGCUCUGGGCCGGUAUUGACGCUGAGGAGCGAAAGCGUGGGUAGCAAACAGG